GACGAACGCUGGCGGCGUGCUUAACACAUGCAAGUCGAACGGAAAGGCCCCCACCAUUUUUGGUGGGGGUGCUCGAGUGGCGAACGGGUGAGUAACACGUGGGUGAUCUGCCCUGUACUUCGGGAUAAGCUUGGGAAACUGGGUCUAAUACCGGAUAGGACCAUGGUUUAGUGUCUCAUGGUGGAAAAAUUAUUGUUUUGGUGCAGGAUGAGCUCGCGGCCUAUCAGCUUGUUGGUGGGGUAAUGGCCUACCAAGGCGUCGACGGGUAGCCGGCCUGAGAGGGUGGACGGCCACAUUGGGACUGAGAUACGGCCCAGACUCCUACGGGAGGCAGCAGUGGGGAAUAUUGCACAAUGGGCGCAAGCCUGAUGCAGCGACGCCGCGUGGGGGAUGACGGCCUUCGGGUUGUAAACUCCUUUCGUUAGGGACGAAGCCGCACCUUUU
rnacentral:rRNA from 1 species